rnacentral:lncRNA from 1 species
AAGCGUCUGACGAGCUGUGUUGAGAGAAGCGGGCCCGGCACCACCGCGGUGGGAGAUGGGCGAGGGGAGAUGCGCCGCGCGGCCGUGGCCCUGCAGGUGGAGAAAUGCCGCCACAGCGCUUCCUCUGGACCCCGUGUGGCCUGCGCAUGCAAAGGGGAAGGCUCUGCGUCCCCAUCCUCUGGCCUCGUCCUCUGCGGUCCCAGGCAGUGAACCCCCAGCCCUCCCCUCCUGUAGCCUCAGGGCUAGCACCCAAGGGUCUGGCCUAUGGGGGACCCCCAGUUUCCAGCUCUGCACUGGAGCGCUGGGUGCCGCAGGGGGUCGACCUGAGGACCCCCAGGAGGUGGGUCUCCAGAGGGCGGGGGAGGGCAGAGGGCG